CGGGCCUCAUGCCAUCAGAUGUGCCCAGAUGGGAUUAGCUAGUAGGUGGGGUAAUGGCUCACCUAGGCGACGAUCCCUAGCUGGUCUGAGAGGAUGACCAGCCACACUGGAACUGAGACACGGUCCAGACUCCUACGGGAGGCAGCAGUGGGGAAUAUUGCACAAUGGGCGCAAGCCUGAUGCAGCCAUGCCGCGUGUGUGAAGAAGGCCUUCGGGUUGUAAAGCACUUUCAGCGAGGAGGAAGG
rnacentral:rRNA from 1 species